rnacentral:lncRNA from 1 species
CAUGUUCUCUUCUCAAUGAGUUCUUGUUCUAAACCAUGUCAAACAACAUUAUGAACUUUCCAAAUGAAAUUGUUGUUGAAUGUGAAGUUUGCAACUAUAUUUUUUCAAAUCUCCGAGCACUUAUAGUUCACAUCGAGCCUCAUUUAACUCAAGAGAAUCUGGCAAUGGAAGUUUCACCAAUUGAUGGAACAAAGCCAUAUAUCAAAUUGUUGGAAAAGCCCAUCCUCAACCAUGGUUAUUUCAAUCUAGAAAAUAUCAAUGGCGAUGCGUUGGAUCUUUCGUUGAAACUCUAGAGAUUUAAAGGGUAAUUUCGUUGAUCUUAUUAUGAGUUUUAUAUAAUGAUGGUGGUGUUUAAAACCACAUAUGAUGUAUGUUUUAUCUUAAAAUUUCAAUUAUCAAUUAGUGUCAUUAUGUCAAGUCAUGUAUUAAAGCUCUGUGAUAUUGAUUCUCAUUAGAACUUAAAGAUGUGAAUCAUACAGAGAAUUAGAAAAAGUUAUAUUAAAUAAAAUUGUUGGUUUGAGUUUAUUUAUAAAUGAAUUUGUC